UGAGGAAUAUUGGUCAAUGGACGGGAGUCUGAACCAGCCAAGUAGCGUGCAGGAUGACGGCCCUAUGGGUUGUAAACUGCUUUUGUGCGGGGAUAAAGUGUGGGACGUGUCCCAUAUUGCAGGUACCGCAUGAAUAAGGACCGGCUAAUUCCGUGCCAGCAGCCGCGGUAAUACGGAAGGUCCGGGCGUUAUCCGGAUUUAUUGGGUUUAAAGGGAGCGCAGGCCGCCGGGCAAGCGUGUUGUGAAAUGCAGUCGCUCAACGUCUGCACUGCAGCGCGAACUGCCCAGCUUGAGUGCGCGCAACGUUGGCGGAAUUCGCCGUGUAGCGGUGAAAUGCUUAGAUAUGGCGAAGAGCUCCGAUUGCGAAGGCAGCUG
rnacentral:rRNA from 1 species